CUACCGCCUCGUCGAUUGUGUCGAGUUUUAGCCGGUCAAUGUGUUGCACCGAUUAUUUCCACUCCUUGAGCAGAAGUAGAAGCAAGGGAAGGGCUGUGGAAGGGAGCAAGCGGCAUAAACGCGGGCGCAGACGAAGAGCGGCGAAAGUGCGCUGUAAAACGAGUUUGCGUGCGGCGCGUGACCUGCCCGAGGACACGCUGUGAACCAGUCUGCAUCGUGCGCACUCUAGUGAAUAACCAAUAUUUCAACGUCCUGAUAUUCGGUGGAGCAGCGGGCCACUGCGAAGUCGCACAAAGAUCUUCCCCUGCUACCUACAUAAAUGCAUUUGCUUUAUGAAUGACCUGAACGAUGGCAUACGACGUGAACAGCGCCAAAGACGCUCGCGUGCGGCGCCGCUAUAAUGGACAUUGAUGGCAAUACCGACUAAUUAGCCCCUACUUACAGCCUUACUAACACUACCUAUAGUCUUACAGCUAACCUAAGCUAACUUAUACUGUUAUCUCUACUCGGGCGGUUUUCCCAGCGAGGUGCGAUACAACACGACCGCGCACAGUUCGAUGCCGGUCAUCAAUCUUGUCGAAGAACCAAAGUGAAUCCGCUGAUCAGUGUCUUAGAAUGACAUCAUCUAUGUCCGUAGCGAAUAGAUUCUACCAAUGGCAGUGACGUCGGUGGGCGUCCAAACAAUAUCACAUUCGAAUUAGAAGUCGGGUCUGCGGCGAGCGGUAUCAAUCACCGUGGGCGGGUUGCGCGACAUUGGACUUCAAUUAGGCGAGCGGCGCGUAUGAUUGCUCACUCCUCUACACGCCAAAGGGUUACUUGACCCAUUUAUUAGGUUCGCGGCACGCGUCCUCGUUAGUAGGAAAUGUUUCGAAAUGAAGAAAUGUUUCAAUAUUUAUUCCGAAUAUAGUUUUCCUUAAGUAUAAAUAUUUUUAAAAUUUAUGUUAGUGUCAUUUUAUACGUAAUGAUAGAGAUAUAGUUAAGUAUGUAUGAAUAUCGAAAUCUAUCUUUUCUAUUAGACUAUGAUAUCUGUCUUUAUCUAAUUUAUUAUUCAUUUAAACAACACUACUUUAAUGUGUCCGUAAUACAUUUUAAUUAUCACUAUAUUAGCGAUUGUACUUCUAUGUCGAAAUUGUGCAAAAAUUAAAGCAACAAGCGUGACGGGAGAAGCGAUUAAUUAUCGUUAAUUACAAUUCUUAAUUAAGUUAGCACAGAACCAUAUGAACUCAUAAAGUUUAAAAAUUCUUAUUAUAAAAUUAUGAUUAGGUGCUUAAGCUGAAUAAAUGUGUGUAGAACUGUAACAAGCAGGUGGUGCGCCUGAGAAGCGAGGCCAGUAUGAGCUGCAUGAGAUGUAAGUAAUAAGUAUAGUCACGAGGAGCAAUUGACCGCAAAUAGGUCGUGGAUUGAAUAACUCGGCGUCGACCUGUACAGGUUUCUAAAUAUGUAUAAAGGCGGUAUUAUUGUAACCGCAGACGAUAUUUCGCAACAUAUCAACUGGUCUGUAAAGCACGUCGCCUACAUGUAAAACCUCUGUGAUCUCACAAUCUGUGACACCAUUGUGUCAAAGUGUCAACAAACUCCAAUAUAACCUUAUAUGCCAUCUAGACAUGAAACAAAACUUUGUUACUAGCUAUUAUUUUACAUUUGUACUUUUCGUAUAAUAAUUGCAAAUGAUCACAUUUCGAUACUGACAAUAAAGGCUAUCAAGAGA